UCGCCGUCUUGUUCUACCCCAUCUCCACUUGUCCAGAAUCUCAAAUUCUCACAUCUCAAACCUAACAGAUUUGAGAAUUGGCAAGAAGGAUUUUUGAGUCUAACACAACAAUUUCGUUGGAAAAGGAGAAAGUGGGUGUUCUUUAGUGAUUCAGAGUAUUGAAAUAGUUCAAUGAAAUAUCUAAAAGUGCUACAGGACUCCGAAGAACUAUUACAUUAGUCAGUGUUUGAGUCUUUGAGAUGUACUUCACAUAAUGAACAAGCUCAACGGUUUACUCCAAAAUUUCAAUAUUCGAGAGCUCUAUAAGAUAUCCGAAGAUACCUGAAAUAGACUACUUAUACAUUCUCUUCAUUUUGGAGAGUUAAAGUACCUAAUCGAGAAAGAAAUAGAUAAUGAAGUGAUUGUGAAGAAAUCCAAUGUGUAUAAUAAG